rnacentral:pre_miRNA from 1 species
GUAGUAUUCCCUCCGUCCCAAAAUUCUUGUCUUACAUUUGUUUAGAUACGGAUGUAUCUAACACUAAAAUGUAACUAGAUACAUCCAUAUUUAGACAAAUUUAAGACAAGAAUUUUGGGACGGAGGGAGUACANA